AGUAGCUUUAACAUUAUAAACCACAUCAUCUUUUUUAGUGUGUAUGCUAAAGCAGCUUAUUUUAGACCGAAGAUGAACCUAUUGCCUGCUCCAAGGUUAAGAAUCAGAAAAUUAUGGAAGAAUCAUUCAAACCUCUUCAAUGGAGGUUCAGCUGUUGGUGGCCAGCAUCUCUCUCUACUCAUCAUCAUUGUAAACAUGUAGAUGAUUUGAAACAACAUCCUGGAUUCCUUCCUACAUGAAGAUGUUGAGUUUCCAGACUUGGUUAUUGAAGAACUUUGUCAGCAGGAUUGCUCCUUUUGGGAUAGUCUAUCAUGAGCUAUCAGCUAUCACGAGACCACUGUCAAGCAGCAUCAGGACAGAACUGCAUCAAAUUCUGGCUGUCAGGACCAGGAGCCACGGUACUUUAGAAAAUACUAUUACAAAUCAUCUUCUAGAAUCUGGUUUGUCUAAUGAAACAACUUAAAUAAAAUAAAAUGAUGCCUUCAUGAUGAUCCUGUCCUGAGCUGACAUGGAAAAUUAGGUCAGGGUAAAGCUCAAUUUACACCCUUUGUUUCAAUAAAUAAAGGCUCUCGGUCACACACAAACACAAAGCUGCAUGCAGUGCAAAAUGCUAGCCUCUGCGACUGUACGCUUUCUUAGCACAUGAUAGAAUCUAAACACACACACGGUCACCACUAUGACCUUUUCCAGGUACACUGUGUACAUGCACACCUAGUAACACAUUAACUCAGAGUGUUGCUUGUGCAGCUCCAGAGCGCUGAUGUGGACACACCAGCUGACAGAGUGACUGUUGAAAAAAACAGCACUGCAAGCACAGCGCGUCUAAGCUGAGGGUGCAGCUAGAGUAACAGAGACACUGAAAUACUAUCCACUCCCAGGUAGAGAUGACCUGUCACAUGGUGCAAGAAGCAAAUCCAGUAUCUGGCUGAAAGCAACCAAAAUCAUCCAGAGUGAAUGACAAACCAAAACCUCGCAAGGACCUGUUUUUAAUGUUGCGUGAGAAAAAUGGUUUCUCUGAGUGGCAAUUUUUUUAAAUUAAAUUCUUUGGUAGCACUUAUAAUAAUGUCAUAUUAUUAAGCAUUAAUAGGGUAUUAGCAAGUGCUUAUAUAGCAUUACUCCUCCUUAGUAUACCAUUUAUAAAUAUUGAUAUAUUAUUAUGACUAUGAUUAUGAUUAUAAUUAUUACUAGCCAUGCUCUAGUAGCAGUGAUAGCUGUACCUGGUGUAACAGUAAAAGAUUUACAAAUUUAUAAAUGUAUUUCUAAAUGACACACUAAGAAGGAGUAAUGAUAUAUAAAUGAUGAUUUAAGCACUUGCUAAUACCUUACUAAAGCUUGAUAGUGUGACAUUAUUAUAAACCGCUACAAAAUGUUCUCAUUAGACGCUUGAGACAACCCCACCAUUGUCUGGUGGGGUUCAUCCAUGUGAAGAUAAGAACUGUUGCUGUAGAUGUUCUCUCCAAACAGCAACAACCAGUAACUACUGAAGAAGAAGAAAAACAAAAGCUAUCAAUACUUUAUUCAGUUUUCUGGUUCAGAUUCCACAUUUAUAGCUUUGAUAUUAAUGUUUUAACUGAUGCUAACAAGUUUGGUAAGCUUAUCCAUGGUGGCCAAAACCUUUCCUUGUACCAAGCUGCAAAAACCUGUAUUUUUGGAGGCAGUGAAGGAACUGCAGUUUUGGCACUUCCUCACAGGUUUCUUCUUCUUCUUCUUCUUUUAGCUGCAUAGGUUUUUGCUUGGCCCCAGCAUACAGUCUUUAACAUUUGAUUAUAUUUUUUAACAGUUUGGCUGUUUACGAGGGUAUUCAUAUAACAACAUCACUCUGGACAUUACGUACACUGCCAUGUGAGCAGCACGAUAUAAACAGUACUACUCAACUGAAAACAUAGAAACUAAAAACAAAAACAGUGAGAGAUAGGGGUCAGGGAAACAGUACACAGAUGGUUUAUAAUGCAACAAAGUGAUAGAAAGCAACAUGUAAAAUGUGCCUGGUCAUUGUCUCAGUGGCAGAAACAGACCAGUAAGAAUACAUGAGGUCUUACAGUGCAGAUAACAAUCACCAGUCAGAGAACUAUGAAAAUUUGUAAAUUUUGUCUUACUGAGAUAAAGUUAUGGUGCCACUAUAUUCAAAGACUACAAGUUGUACAAAUGGAUAGAUUGGAUAUAUUGUUAUUGGCACUUAAGCUAACCUAAUCUAAUAUAUAAGAAGGUGACAAGGAACUAAGAUGCACGAGUUAUUGUCUUUUUGUGUUGGCCCAUAUGCUAUAGAAACUUUUAUGUUACCCUCAGUAAGUGGUGACAUAUGGUUCCCCGUCAUUGACCCUGCUGGAGGUUUCUUCCUAUUAAAAGGGAGUUUUUCUUUACCACUGUCGCCAAAGUGCUUGAUGAAAGGGGUUUAUUUCUUUGUUGGGUUUUUUAUCUGUAUUACUGUAUGGUCUUGAGAGUGUAAAGCACCUUGAGGUGACUGCUGUUGUGUUUUGGCGCCAAGAGUGAAUAAUUUCUCUAUGGGUAGCCUGGACCUUUAAUAGGAAUAUACCAGUCAGAUAUCUGGACAUGACAUUGGUCUGAUCAGUGAGUCCAUGUGUUCAGUUCAUUUGUCGGUUUGUUGUUUUGUGUUUACUUCAACAGCAGCAGUGCAGAAGUUUCUAGCAUGGAUGAGGCUAUUAACAAAGGGUGAGUCAUGUGGAGGUAUUUUCCCCUCUUGUCUUGGUUGCAGUAUCUUUGACUUAAUCAUAAACUGUGGUCAAGUCAGUUGAUGUGACUGAAAAGCUGAGAAGACGAUGCUUUCUGUUUUGUUCACUCCAGUUCUUUCAUUUUUAUCUGUGACACUUGUUGAAAAACUCUCAUUGCAUUUAAAGUGAUAUAAUGAAUUCUCAUGAAGUUGAUAAAAAUCAUCUUGUCUUAUAACGGCUCCACGCUGAAACUAGCUUCCAGUAAACACUCUCACACUGAGCUGACAGAUGGCUUGUGCAAAUAUAUGUAACGCAGGUGUAUUUGUUUUCUGUUUUUAUAUCUUGGGCCUGAUGUCAUUUCCACUUUGUGUUUAAGUUGAUAUUAAUGUUGCCUCACAUGGAAAGAUAAAGUGCAAUUUUUUUCUUCUGAGUAAAUACGAAAAUAUAUGAAUUUAAUAAAAAAACAAAAGGAUUGGUGCAUAUCUAGUCUUUCAUGUCUAUGGGUGAUGAUGAUAAGGGGAGGUUUGCCCUUCUUAAUGAGCAGUGGAGAUACUGCCCUUUCUUAUCCAGUGAGAUGGUACUGAGGGACUUGAAAUAUACACUGGGGUGGUAGGUGGUGGGGGAAAGCCUCAACAAAAUGACAAUCCUUUUGUUUUGUGAACAUAAAGACAGUUUUUUGUUCACCAAAAAAGUUGCACCUUUCUGUUUGAUGACUCAUUGUUGCUGAGGAGACCCACACCACCGUGUUAUCUGCAACCUGAGAAGUGGUUUGGACGGAAAAUACAAUGAUGAAUCACUAAAGUGAGUAAGCAGCUCAUAGGGAUCCUGUGCUCUUUGUGAGGGUCAGUGCCAAUCCAAACUGCCCGAGGCCUCCCAGUCAGGAAAGUCUAUGACUCAGUUACAGUGAGAGGUGUUGAUGUCGAGUGAGCUCUGUUUUCCUGGGAGGUACUGAUGCAUGACUAUGCUGCAUGCUAAACUAGAAUCUGCGAACAGCAUUCUGACACAAGCGUCCUACUCCAGAGGUCUUCAAAUGUGAUGAGGCUGAAGCAAGUGCAAGGAAUAUAGUGUCAUCAGUAGAGUGAAUGAAUGGUCUCCAAACUGGAGAGAGUCCAGGGAGGUGGUUAGUGCAGACUGGUUUCAAGCCUAGCCUCCUGAAACAGAAUAGGCUGCUGGGGGUGAAUUUGAAACUGCCUGGCUCAGGUAGUUCUUGAAGGUGUCGAUCAAGACAUCAUCCAGCUAAUCUUUACAUCUCAUCAGCACACUUACAGAGCAGAAGGUUUAGACAUAAGUUGAUUCCACACAUGAACUCGAAUUGGGUAUGGAUAUGCAGCAUUAUAGUAGGAAAUAGUAUUCACACUACUGCAGUAUUAGCUGUACUUUUCUUACACGACUACAACCUGACAUCACUCAGACUUUGUAGCAGGGAGCUAGCAGGGUAAACACCGGCUAAUCCCACAUGCAGCUGCAUCCAAAAGUUAAUGGCUGUUGUAAUCGAGAAAAAUCACAGAGAAAAUCUUUUUUGUGCAGUUUAAAAAUGAUCACUGACAAAAGAGAAUACCAAAUCUUUACAGACAUAUAUGACGUUUUAAAAAAAAAAUCUUUAUGUGGAUUGUUUGCUGUUUGCUGUGUUGUGAGCAAGUUGUUCGUUGACAUCAGUGAUUAGUGGACUUCAUUUCUAUGCCAUUAACUUUCUGUAGCUUUCUGUGGAAAAUUCACAAACCGCUAGAGUCAAGCGAGAGAAUAGGUGAAAGUUACAUUUAUAAUUCUCAAUCUCAUGUAGACAUUGGAAAGAAACAAAAAAAUAAAAAUAAAAAUAUUACUUGGCAAAUUGAAUAAAACUAGUUUAUUUGAAUAUUUUGUUAAUAUUUUGCGUGCUGUGACUUGAAAGUCUUGGAAAACGUGUUGGAUUAGGACUAACUUUAGUCCACAUACAUAUCGUAACUCCAAAUCUAAGUUGGGGACAAGCUUUGAUCUUAUUUACACUGUGAUGGAAAUGAAGACUACACACACACACACACACACACACACACACACACACACACACACUCACCUGUAAGUAAAAGAUUUACAGGUGCGUUGAUCCACACCUGCCAGGUUGUGACCGUUAGAGGGAAAUUCUGUUCUAAUGAAACAAAACUCCUUCCACUUCCUGUAACUGUCUAUACAAACACAGCUGUUAUCUUAAGUAUUAAAAGUGAGUUUAAAUUGAGUCACUCAGAUAUGGAUCUAUCUCAUUUUAAUAUUUCCAAAUGAAAAACAACAGUUUAACAGGUCAUUUACCCAUCCUGUAAGAAAGCCAUGAUUCCUUGAUUUCCUGCUAAUUUUCUUGUUUUAAGUGCAUUUUUAAAGUAAUACAGAAAAUAUUGUUUUCACAUAAACAAAAAUCUCCACUAACUUCUAAAGGUUUUUCAGUGUUAGUAAAGAAGAAUCAUGAAUGUUAAUGAAAUGAAGUAACUUUUAAUUUACUUUGUUAGCAUGAGAAUUAUUGGCGUCAUUAGUAUGUCAGCAUGCAUAACAGACACUGAAAAGUAGGUGGUACUGGGAAUAAAUAUUUUCAGAGAUUAGAAACAGUUAAACAGGUGUGGGAGUGUUGGGCUUCACUGUAUAUUGUCCUAGUUAGUACUUCCUGUUCCUGCUCCUGGUCAGGUGGAAAAAUAUAACAGUUAAAUGAUUCACUACCAACAGUGCUGUCAUUGUAAUGAUAGAUUGGAUAUGGAGUUCCUUGCUUGUUAGGAUUAGGGUGUGGAGCAGUAAAGAAAGUAAAAAUCUUUUGAUAAACAAGAAUCGGAUGUCCUGUUCAAAUAGUCGACAAAUAAAAGUGACCUUAGAACAUUUACCACUCCCUAUUCAUAACUCACUUAUUGAUAUGUGUUUUAUGGAGUAUAACUCAGUGUACGGUACAUUAAAGUUUGUUUUAUCAGUAACAUUUGAACUUACACAUCUGAGAACGACAUGUACAGCUGUGAAUGUUUAAACAUUAUAAGACACUAAAUAAACAGUUUUAAGCACAGCGGAACCAUAAAACAUGUCACAUUUAAAAUGAAAUGUACUGAAAAGCCUACCUAAUGUAAUUUAGCUAUUAACUGCUUAUAUGACAUUUGUCUGCCUUUGCGGCUUUUGUGUUCUACAAUAUUAGAUUCUCUUCACUGGUUAAAGAAAGAUUAAGUUUGAAAUUCUUGGCAUUUCCUAAGGCCUAAAUGAUCAGGCCCAUUACAUCUUAAUGACCUCAUAGUACCAUAUUACCCCAGUAGAGCACUUCCUUCCCAGACUGCACGCCUACUCCUGGUUUCUGGAGACUUUAAAACCAGACAAGAGGCCCCUCUCGCCUGCCAAACCAGCUCCCAGUUUGGGUUCAGAAGACAGACACCCUCUGUACUUUAAACAUUAGGCUUCAAAUUUUGAUUUCUGAUAAAUUUUUAAGUUAAGCCUGAAUCAGUUUCCUGCCAUAGGCUCAGGCUGUCUAUAAUGACUGUUUUCUGAGAGUUUUCUGACUUCUAGUCCAGUCUGAUAUUUUUUCCCCAUUUAAUCAACCAGGAACCAGGAAUCUCCCUUCUGGAAAGUUUUUAAGGUUGCCUAGAUUGUGUUUGUUGUGUUAUUUGAUAUUAGUUUAAUUUGAUUUGUUGAACCCAGUAAAUAUGCAUAGUGUGGUCAGUAAUGCUUAGUGGAGAGUAUGCAGGAGUCCCAGUCUUUUUUUUAGUUGACCAUCAUUUUCAAAACAGUUACAAAAUAACAAUUAAUUUUUCAUAUUGAACAAAGAAAUUCUGCUGAUAUGCUGAUUAUAAAAAGCAGACCUGUAAGCAUUUCAUCUUAGAUCUAUCGUAACACAAUUAGGGUCAGCUAGAUGCUUAACAAAUGCAGCAUUUGCAUCUGGACAGAUUCAUCUGCUAUCACUUAUUUUAGGAUAAAAAUGUUUAAGCCACAGGGAUUUGUUGAAGAUUUAAAAACAGCUUUAAUUCCCCCUUAUUGUAUGAUCAUCGGCUCAUGUUAGGUAUGCUGAAAGGUCACUUUAGUGCAAAUAAGAACAAAUACUGUGUGUGUGUUUUCUUUGAAUUGUUAGUCUCACUGAUUAAACAGAGGUCCUUUUGAUUGUGGGUCAUUGUGCUGUUGUGGCUCAAAGAAGUCUAGAAAGCUUUUUAUCAGCUUCUUUUUCUUGAAACUGUUUUCCCGUGAAGUUUAUCAUACGGUGCUGUAAAACAUUAACGCUGAUGCUAUUGUCAGCCAAAGGUGUCUGGGAGGUUAGGGUGGUGGAGAUUGUUAAAAGUCUACUCACUAUUCUUAAUUUAUGCAAAGCGCUUGAGUGAACAGGCUACUGUUUAGCAGCCAGUCCCUCCAUUUAUACACUUAGAAUCACACUGUAGCCCUCGCUCAAGGACACAGGACUAUGGUUCCUUAGACUCUAGCAGGAGAACAGACGCCGUUCUCCAUGUCUUGAAUGAUAUGAGGAAAAUCUCGGGUUCAUUAGCUGGAAAAAUCUUCUUUGGGGUUUUCGAUUAUUUUUCAGUCUUCAUCUUCAAACUUUAAAGUGCCACAGUUGCAUAAAGAGUCAGUGUAAAGACAAGAAUACAGAUUGAUUUCCUCUUCUAGGUGGUGCACGCUGACUUACAACUAUAGCUGAGCUGAGGUUUCAACUUAUGCGUGAGCUUUACCAAGUUGUGUCACAAACCUUGUGAGACACCAUAAAAACUGAGACUGCAGGUGAAUACCAAAAACAGAAGUGGAGUUUCUGCUCAGUUCUGAGUUUGCUCAGAGUCUGAAACACACCAUCAAUGCCUAAAAACCUUGAUUACAGGUAAUAUCUGUAUAUCUGCUAUUAGUGUCAAGAGGUUUACGGGUCAGCUUUUCCAGGUUAACCUCAAUGAUGAGGUUCUGCCUUUCUAUCUAUCUAUCUAUCUAUCUAUCUAUCUAUCUAUCUAUCUAUCUAUCUAUCUAUCUAUCUAUCUAUCUAUCUAUCUAUCUAUCUAUCUAUCUAUCUAUCUAUCUAUCUAUCUAUCUAUCUAUCUAUCUAUCUAUCUAUCUAUUUCUUAACCUUUGUCACUAGAUGGAGUACGCCUAUCUGGUUGUCACACAUUACAUUUCAUUUGAGAGGGCUCAAUAGCACAGAGUUUAUGAAGGGAUUGAUUUGUUAAUGGGAGAAGAUGUCAUCUUUAGUAGGUGCAGAGCUAAAGCAGGAGCCAGUCUGCAGUAGAGUGAGUUAUUACCUGCUGAGCAGUCUUGUGAAAUGGAUAACUUGUCCUAUUAUUUUCUCCAGGUUGUGCUUCUGUCAGAGACUCCAAACUUAUGAAUUUGCUCUCACUUGCAGCCAUAAGGAGCAGCCUCGAAGAGCAACAUACCAGAAAAGAGACAAACCUUCUGGUAUCUGCAGGGGCGUAAUCUUUCCAUCACUAGCCCAGGAGCUGGAGCCAAUGAAUAAAUGUGGUCAAAGCAGAGUAAUUGACCAAGAAUUGAAUGCAGUUGUACCCUAGUCCGCUGACAAAAAGCAUGAGGUUGGCGGUUGUUAGUGGUUUCUCUGUCUACUGUAAUUGUGCUUUAGCGAGGUCAGACGCUAAUUAGGGGUAAUGAUGCCUCACUUUGUAGCUGGUAUUUUGUUUCAUCCCAAAUUUGCUGGAUGGGGUUGAGGUCAGGACUCUGUAGAGACCAGAACACAUUUGUUUAUGGAUGCCGCUUUGUUCCCUGUGAUGAAAUGCUGACAAAUUGCUGCCACAAAGUAGCAGGUUGUUGUAGUUUUUUAAGAUUUAAAACCCCUAACCCAGGAAAAGUAAAGCAUAAGCAUGCGUUAUGUGGGAUUUUCACCCAAGAUAAUGAAAAAAAAAAGCGUAAUAUGUAACUGAAGUUUCUGGGGAAGAAGCACAAACAAUCUUUAACCCUAACCGUAGCUCUGUGCUUGUUUUUUUUCAGGUACAUCAGCACUGAAAAUACUCAGAAAUAUGCUGAUGAUUUCCAGUGCCUUGCUACACGGCCCUACGUAAGCUGUUCAAAUAUGAAGAAUAUCCAAUAACAGAAAAGGACUCAGAGUUAUCUUUGCCCAUGGGAGUAAGGCAGCAUAUUUGUCCUUCACAUGCUUCAUUAAAUUGUGGAAAAUAUCAGCCAACCAUAUCAGAUAUAGUAGAGACAAUUCAUUUUACAUUUAGUAAUUUCAUCUUCCAAAUAUACAUUCCUCUUCACCCUGAUCCCUUGGCUACUCCUUCCUGAGCCUGGUUUUAAUGUAAAAGAUGCUCUUCCUCCCUCCUUGCCAAGUGCUUACUCAUAGGGAUCACUGUGGUUUUUCUCUCUUAUAUGGUCAUCACAUUAAAACAGAACGCACCUUGAGUCGACUGUUGCUGUGACUGAUGCGAUAUAAAAAAACCCCCAAACUGAAUCAAACUCUUCUCUGCUGUAGAAGACCCAAAAGGGGGUGUUCUCACUUGGUAGGACCCUACAACAUUACACAAACUGCACCAGGACUGCUUGAAGAAUACAACAGAAGAUCCCAAGGUGUUGAGGUAACUUUGAAACUGGGACGUACAGGAACAAUCAAACUCUCAGUACCUAAAAAAAUCCUGCGUCGUGCACCAUGGGAUGCAAUGUCAAUGCGUCAAUGCCAGGGUUUUGUUUUUGCUUUUUAUGUAUAGUUGCAGUAGCUGCAGUGCCCACCACAUUGCUGUUUUACUCAUAGAGUUAUACAUUAGAGAAAUUAGGAACUUUAAUCCCAAAUCUUCUAAUACCCUCAUGUCCCCCACUCACCGCCAUGCUAAAAAUAUGCAAUGUGUCACUGUGAUCCGCGGCAGUCAUGCCUGAAACCUGAGUUGAUUUCAGUAUGACUGUGCAGUUGUGAAUGAAUGACACAUUUCGUAGGUAGCUUAGGAAUGAUUUUCAUUGCAGUUUUCUGUCAGCUAUUAACAGUCGCCGUGCUUCCUUGGCAGCAGAUUAAAGCUCAGGAGUGUCUUUCAGUGAAGAGCUGCUCACAGCUGGGAUUUCACAGUUACUACUAACAGAUGUUUGGUUAUCAGUCACUAGGAAGUAAUAAUCUGAAUGACCUCAUCUGAACAAAGAGAACUUAAGUUGGUCUUUUUUUCACUUGUUUUGAAACAGGGUUUUAUUUCAAAUAUCUUGUUUUUUUUUAAAAACUUAUUCUGUUGUUUAUAUUUUAGCAAAAAGGCUUUUUUCUUUUUGAGAAAUACAGUAGAAAAGCACAUGUGAAGGGAAGUUAGUAUUAUUUUGGCUGUUGAUCUAUUCAUAAACUGUGUGUAAAAGAUGGAUAUAUGUAGGCACCAUGACUUCGCCCAUUGUUCAGCGAAAGCCUUGACCUAAGCAUUUUUGCCAUCACCCUCUUUUUCUUUCAGCCACUCCCAUCAGGUGUCGCUACAGAGGAUCAUCUGCCUCCAUGUCUCUCUCACUACAUCCAUAAACCGCAUCUAUGGUCUUCCUAUUUUCCUCUCCCUGGUGGCUCCAUAUUCAACAUCCUUUGCUCAGUAUAUCCACUAUCCCUCCUCUGCACUUGUCCAGGAUUUGUCUCCAAACCACUCAACCUGAGCUGUUCCUCUGACGUACUCAUUGGUCAGUCCCGGCCCCAAAAUCUUAGUAUCUACAGGUCGGCCUCCUGUCUUUUUUGCCAGUGCCACCAUCUCCAAAACAUACAUACAUGCCAACCUUUCCUUCCACUCUUGCUGCCAUCCUUCUAUCACAAAUCACCCCUGACACUUGUCUCCACCCACUCCACCCUCCCUUCACCUUCCUCUUUCUUGUGCACUGUCCAUUGCUUUGGAUGGUUGACCCCAGGUAUUUCAAAUGUCACCACUCUGCUGCUUGCAGCUACACCGUUGCCUCCCUGUCAUUGACAUAAACAUAUACUAUCUUACUGAUGAGUUUCUUCUCCCCUGUGCAUACCUCCAGAGUUGAUCCCUGAUGUAAUCCCACCCCCAACUUCAACCCAUCUGUCACACUGUCCUCAUAUAUCUCCUGCAGCACUCUCACGCACUUCACAUACAUAUACUUAAAAGUAGACGUGACAAGCAAGAAGCUGAUCUGAGAAACCAAAGAUACUGCAUGCUCAUAUGGUAGCAGCCUUUCAAUUACACAGUAGCACUGCCAUAAAGCAUAUCAUGCUUUAUCUGGAAUUUAUACAAUAAUCAUAAUAGCGUAUUCAAUAAGACCUGAAACUUGUGGCUGAGACCAUAAACUUACUGAGGAAGUUACUGAGGCCAUAGAUCAAGAGAGCACACUGUGGAUUUCCCAUAAAGGUCUUUACUAUCAAUUUCAGCUGUUUCACACACUGAAGCUCAUCUUUUAUAAAGAUUCUAUAAUUUUAAUAAACAACCACAAACAAAUGGAGCCAAAAGGUUUAAGCAUAUUUAACAUGUUGUCUUUAUUUGUGGGGAUAAGAGGCCUGACACAGCCUCUCUUGACUAACUCAUACAGAGGAUUAUUUACAUGACUGAUUUCUAGCUGUGCCUGAGCAACACCUGUCCAGGAGUUGGAAUGCUGCUACUUGUGAAAGCUGGGCCCUAUUCCAGGAAGCAGGUUCAACAAACUCUGAGUUUAAAAAUAAACUCAGAGUUGAUUAAGUUCAUGCCUGAGUAGAGAAAAAAGCCAUCAUCAGAGGGGCUCGGAUGCCAAGAUUAACCACGGUAACGGGUAAAUAAAAAGCAGAGCCUCCGUUUUCUUCCAGUGGACCGAGGAAUACGAAUGCGUGUCGUGCUCACAGUGAGAUUUAUGUGAAAAAAAAAAACACGAUGGGAGAAAUAAGUCGUUUCAAUCACCAUCAUCACAGGCAGUACAAUAGUUUGAUUGAAAAAUUUAACACUUUUUGUACUGUUUGAUCAUCAUUUACCCAAAUUGUCAUUAAUUGAAACUGGAAUCCUAAAUUUACAUUUGAUUUUCAGCUGGAACCUGACAGAGACUGAAUGACUCCUGCCAUCAGGUUUUAAAGUAAUGGCAUGUACUGAUGUAAUAACUUCAUUUUUAUAGAGGUAUUCUAAGCUUUAUGAGUAAAGGGAAAUAUAAGAAAGGUCAAAUGUUUCACAGAUUUAUAAUCUUUUUAAUUUGUGUUGAGUAUACUUUUGGGAGAAUGAGCCAUUAUAAAUGAGGAAUACAGACUGUGCUGGGACAAAAUAAGAGAGUAAAAUAAUCUGGGCCUGAUCUGAUCUGAAUCCAUGAUCCUAAACUGUUUAAAGGUCCACAGUGCCGUGCACGUGGACUCUGACCUGGACACGGUUUGCUGAUCUGUUACAGAGGCUCUGAUAAGCUACCUUUGGGCAGUUCUGCUCUGGUCUUCCCAGUGAGCAGUACAUCAAUCAAUAUAAUUACAUUUCUGUCAACAAAUUUCAACAUGAAAUGUAAUCAGAUUACACUCAGUCUGUAACCACAUUUAAAAAGUACAUUUAAAACGCAAUCAGUUCAAUUUCAGAGUCUCAGUCAUUUCCUCUUUGUUAAACUACUCACAUCAUCUCCAAGAUCUCAGCUGUGAGAGACAUUUUACAUCAGUGUGACCGUUUACGACACGAUAAUUGACUGAUCAUUGAUCAGUGAUCCGUGUCUUGUGUCUAAGGCUUCAAACAGAUACAGAAAGUGUGAUUUGAACAGUGAGGCGUGGAAAAUAUUGACUGUCUGACAGUCUGACAGCUGCAUUACUGUUCACAGUCUCAGUAUUUAAAAGACGGAGACUUUAGACUUUAUUCUGAGCUGGUAAUAAAUUUGUAACAUAAUUAGUGUCUCCAUCCUUACACUGAUGACUGAGUGAUUGUAAAAGAGCUCAUUUUAAGUUGAAAAGUGAACUGGUGUCCUACUGGGAUUUCAGUUUUUGUUCAAAUGUAAACCUGCAAAUUAAUUUGCUCAUCAAUGCAAAACUUUAUGAAUAAAGACAUUUAUAGAGUGAGGGUUUAAUGUAACCCUCCUUCUGGAAAAGACAAGUGUUUCCCUUAUCUCUGGAUUAAUAAACUUAGAGCUGUUAACGUGGCUUCGGCGCUCUGUGGUUCUCUCUUGUGAUUCACUGAGGACCUUGGUGAGGUUAAUGGGAUCAGCAUUCAGAAACUGGUUUCACUAUGACAUGCAUGGUUUCACUAUGAUUAUGUUUGAAUCAGUGACACAUAGAAUACGAAGUUAGCAGAUGGUUUUCACUGCUUGGCUGUUUGCCAUUCAUUAAAAGUAACAAAAUUUUGUUGUCUUUGCUUGGCCUUUUUUAAAAAAUGUAACUACAGUUUUAUUAAACUCAUCAGAUGUGUUGGAAAACAAAUGAAAAAUCAAAUAACCAGGAUUCUGAUGAAGAGUGGCAUUAUAUUAGAUUCUCUUUCUCUCUCUCUCUCUCUCGUGUUUUAAAACAAAUAAAUUCACAUUUAAAAAAAACAACUUUAUUUCUUAUUUGUUUGCCUCGUUAAUUAAUUGUUGCUGCUUUUACCUGUUGAUGCAAAUGUGUAACAGCUCUGUUAAAUGAGGCAUAAACUCAAAGUUUACUGACAUUUGACCAUGUAAUGGGAUAUAAAAGCAGGACUGUUUACACUCAGGUUAGAGGUGGAGCUGAUGAGGGGAUCGAGUACAGGUGUGUAAGUCAGGUGAUGAGGAAAGGUUGAAAAGCAGAGGUGCUUAUUUGUCCCGCAGAGUGUGCAAAGGCUCUCUGGGUUAAUCCACUUUAAAUAAAGCUAAGUCAUUGCUCAGACUCUGAAUUGCCAUAAGCCAAGAAAGCCAUGAAUAUACCUGUCACGCAAAAUAAAAUUAAGGUGUAUGGAACAUCAUGGAGUACAGCUUGGGAUCCCCAAAGGUCGAGAAACUGGGCAUGUCCUGGCGUAUCCUGUGGUGGUCUGCAGGCUUCAGCUCCCCUCCCCACAGGAAAACACAGAACACAUUUGUAUUGAGACCCAAGGGCCGAUUUUCAUGAGACUAUUUUGGUAACCUUGUUUACAGACAUUUAAAAUGGUUGCAGCAUCACAUAUUACAAAUGAUGUCAUUAGCAGAUUGAAAUACAGGCAUCGCUGGGAGCUUGUAUGCAGCUCACACAAGCUUGCAAGAAUUUGUUCAUGUAAGUGCAGAUUUCAGCUUGAAACAUCCAAUCUAUGAUAGAAGAGUGGACGUUUCAAACCCCUUUUGUCAUCAUAAAUCUAAAAAAAUAUCUUGGAUGUAUCUAAAUAAAAGCAAAAAUAAAAGCCAUUGCAGUGAU